UCUUAAUUAGAGGAUAGUAUGAAAGGUAAGACAAAUAAGAUUGAGUUUCCAACUUAAAAUUUUAAUUUAGUCGAUCAGUUAAAAUCCUGAUCUAUAGUUUAGGGACGAGAAGACCCUAUAAAGUUUUACUUCUUAGUCUUGUUUAUUAGGCAAAAAAGUUCUGUUGGGGCAAUAUUGUAAGAUAAGAUCUUAUAAUUAUAAACUUUUAAUAAAAUUUCUUGAGCUGUUAUUAACACUGAUAGAUCAAAUUACUUUAGGGAUAACAGCAUAAUUAAGAUUUUUAAGUUCAAAUUUACAAUUUUGAUUAUGACCUCGAUGUUG
rnacentral:rRNA from 1 species